UUCCGGGUUGAGAUUGUUCAGAGCAAGUGUGACUUCUCCAUGCUCUUUUCUGUGUGGCUGGAAGCAAAAAAAAAUUCUAGAUAGAAGCAGCUUCUGGAUCCCUCUCUCAGUGCUGGAAGAAGGCUGCUAAGAAGAGUCACCUAUUCACACCGGACUUGUGCGCAUGGAAGACAAGCUUACUGUGAAGCUGACCCAAAUCUCAAUAGCCUACCAUGACCAAUGUGUGCCAGCCGUUGUGUGCCUGGUGCCAUCAGCUGUGACGAGCAGCUGCAAGGAAGACAGCGGCCUGCCAGCCAUGAGGACAAGGUAAAGGGUCUCCAGGGAUCUUGUAGAAGCCUGGAGUGGGGGUGGAAGUGGAGGAUAGGAAGUAAAAAUUGGGGGAAAAAGGGCUAUAGGACCCAAUUCUCCCCACACAGCCCCGGGACACCCACGGGAAGCCAGGACCCAGGAGCUGUCCCUUCUUCCACACGAGAGCUUGGAGGCAAAUGCAAAGUCAGCACCAAACUGCAAAUAACUUUCCAGACACCCUCACAGCCUUGUGAAUGGAGGUGACACCCUCUUUCAAACUGGGAAUCCUCAGCCUCCGCAGCUGGCCCCACUCCCAGGAGCAUGAAUCUGCUUUGGCCUGGAAACCACACCGUUUGCUCCAUGCGUGGGGCCGAGGGAAGGGGAUGAGAAAGGGAAGAAUGCAGUCUGGCCACAGGCUGAGGAAUGCCUAAUGACAGCCCUGUCAGGCUUCUCAGGAAAAAAUAACAAAACAAAGAACCCAACCAACUCAGAAGUAAGCCAUCUGCCUCCCUGGAAGCCGUAACCUGACAGGGAAAGUAAUACCUCAGUGUGAAUUAAUUUACGAUGAGUCAGGAAGGAUGGGGACCCUCGAGGGAAGAACAGCCCUUCCGGGUUGGGCAGGGGAGGAGGCAGGGGGGGCCCAGCACUGAAGCUGAGUGGGGGAGAGCAGGAUUUCUCACAGCCCAACUCCAACCGCAGAUGCAAAAUGGACGCAGCUCCUGGAAACAGCGUGGGGUGGGGGCUCCAGGACAGUGGCCGUGGCCUCUCCUCCCAUGUUCCCGGCCUAACAUCUGCAGUAGAAGCUACAUGGGCAGUAGCAACUCUAGUCCCGUGGCCCUGGAUUUGCGGGGUGGCUGCCAAUCUGAUGUUUUCAGAAUGGAUCCCCUCAGAGGUCAAGGCCAAGCCACAAGGCUUCCCUGUCCAAAAGGCAAAGUUAAAAUGCCACACAGACAACAGUGAUGACCACUAAGGAGACAGAUGGCUUGAGAGUGGAGUCUGAGGGUGCGGGAGCUCAGGCUAAACCCCGAUCCUCCCACCAGUUCCAGAAAAUUACUAACUUCUCUGUGCCUCAGUUUCCCCUUUGCAAAAUGAAGGUUAUAUUAUCACAUACUUUAGCACAUACUUUACAAUGGUCUUAUGAGGGCUGGGCAUGGUGGCUGACACCUGUAAUCCCAGCACUUUAGGAGGCCGAGGCAGGUGGAUCACUUGAGGCCAGGAGUUCAAGACCAGUCUGGCCAAAACAAGGCAAAACCCCGUCUCUACAAAAAAUACAAAAAUUAGCCAGGCAUGGUGGCACAUGCCUGUAAUCCCAGCUACUCAGGAGACUGAGGCAGAAGAAUUGCUUGAACCCAGGAGGUGGAAGUUGCAGUGAGCCAAGAUUGCGCCACUGCAUUCCAGCCUGGGCAACAGAGAAAGACUCCAUCUCAAAAAAAAAAAAAAAAAAAGUUCUCAUAAGGAUUAGAACGGUCAUUACAAGCUAAAUGCUUAGACUUUUGCCAGGCAUAUAGUUAAUGCUAGAGAAUGUUAGCUAUAAUGAUGAGGAAGGUGACGACGAUAAGGAGGGUGACAAUAAAUUUGGGGUGACUCCAGGGCUCUGUGAUGGAGAACUACAAGGCAUGCCCAGGAAGUGUGGAUUCCUCCAGAGGUAAGAUGGCUUCUGUAGGACGUGGAAGGCAGAAAGCCCCAAUUCAUGGUCAUAUGAGUGCGACAGUCAGCUGGUGAGGCAGUCAGCACCUGCCCUUCAUGUGGUCCAACAGAGGGACCUGGGUCCUCUUCUGUCUCUAUCCCCAUGAUGCAGCCAGACUCUGUCUCUCCCAGGGUCUCGCCCAUCACUUUUCCUGUCUUCCCUGGCUGCUCCUGCAAUCCUCCCUGCUGUCUUCUUCUCCUCUCUGGAGCUGCCACUCACCGUCAUACCAAUCAAUAGCAUUUCUACCUUUACAACUCUGGUGUUCAAGCCAGGCAUGUUGGUGCACACCUGCAGUACCUGCUAUUCAGGAGGCUGAGGCAGGAGGAUCUCUUGAGCCGAGGUGUUCAAGGCUGCAGUGCACUAUGAUUGUGUCUGUGAAUAGCCACUGUGCUCCACCCUGGGCAACAUAGCAAGACCCCAUCUUA